GAUGAACGCUGGCGGCGUGCUUAACACAUGCAAGUCGAACGAAAUACCUGUGAACAAGUUUUCGGACAAGGGAUCAGGUGUUUAGUGGCGGACGGGUGAGUAACGCGUGAGUAACCUGCCUUGGAGUGGGGAAUAACACAGCGAAAGCUGUGCUAAUACCGCAUAACGCAACGGAAUCGCAUGGUUCUGUUGCCAAAGAUUUAUCGCUCUGAGAUGGACUCGCGUCUGAUUAGCUAGUUGGUGAGGUAGUGGCUCACCAAGGCGACGAUCAGUAGCCGGACUGAGAGGUUGAACGGCCACAUUGGGACUGAGACACGGCCCAGACUCCUACGGGAGGCAG
rnacentral:rRNA from 1 species